CAACCUCCUAUUUAUUAAGUUAACCUUGUAUGUUUGGAUACUUUUUAGCCUUGGACUUCUAAUAUAUAGUAGUUCUGAUGCUUGUAUAUACAACUAAAAUCCUUGUAGGCUUCAUAAUGGCAUCAUUAUGAACGCAUUUGCUCAUAUAUUCACAUGAAUGAUCUCCAUUAGAAGUAUUAAUAGUUUGAUAGUUUACUGGUUUAUUAGCCUAUACUUCCUUGACCUACAUAUCAUCCAUCUGAAGUUUGGUAUUUUGCAUAUACAGAUCUUGAUUUCAGAUCUUCAAAUUCAAGCUCACAAAAUUAUAUCUAUGUGAUAGAAAACUUGCUUUCUUGAUGUGGUUUAUGCAUGGAUCUUCUGUAAUUAGAAGGAUCUGUUUUAUGUAGACUAACAUAAAAUUCACCGAUGAAGAUUAGUUACCCAUGGAAACACUCGAUAUUGCAUCAAGAAUUGAACAAUUUUGUCAAAAUUGGGAUCAUAUUGCAAAUCAUAGAAGGCCUUGAGCUAGAUCAAAUCAUAACUCAAGAAACCUUAUUUUCUGUGAAGUUAAUUAAUAUGUCAAGAAACAAAUAUCAUAAUUUACUUAAUUUAGAUUUCUUGCUUAAAAAAUGUCAAUAUAAUUAAUUAAGAUUUAACAAAUAAUAAAAUUAUUGAAUUUUAACUGUCUCUGUCCUUAAAAAAUAUAUAAUAUUAUUCUGACAUUAAAUGUUUUACUGGUGAUCUUUUCAAAUUUCUUGUAAGUUUAUUAUCACAAAUUACUUAGUUCAAAAUAUAGGAAAUAUCUCAAUAAUUCAUAGAAAACAACUGUCUAAUACAAGAAUAAAUGAUUAAGUUGGAUAUUACCAAACCUAUGAGUUGUUUAGUUGACAAAACUGAUCUAUUUGUUAUGAUCAUGAAUUGUUUAAGGCCAUUUUAAUUUAGAUUGUAAAAUCAAGAUCAUUGAAUCAUAAGAUCUUGUGCUAGUGAAUAUUGUCUAAACUUUGCUUGACUUUAAAUUGAUAGAUAAUUCCCUCAAAUAAUGUUGUUACUGUAAAUAAUUCCCUCAAAUAUUGUUAAUACUGAAAACUUAAGAGUUGGUAUAAUUAAUAAGUUUUUGUAAGGUCAACGAAAAUCGUUGAUAAAAGAAAAUAACUGGUAGAUACUCGAAAACUCAUAAAAAAGCAUGGUUAGUACAACAACCUAAAAAUAAUACAUUAAACAUUUUUGUUAUAUGUUUUGCAAAAAUAUUCACCCCUUAGGAUUUUCAAUUGCUACGGACAAGUACAUGGAUUUGCAAUGUGGCAUUGUAGAGAUUUUUGUCCUUUAUUGUAUAGAUGGACAAGUCAUCUGGGUUACAUUAAUCCAUGUCAUGUGGUUUGAUGUUGGUGGUUGAAUUUGUGUUGACCUGCUUGACUUGGUUCGAGUUCGAUCAAUAUAAAAAUUUUGGUCUUACCCAACGUCUUGAUCUCUCGAAGAGGUAUUGAUCCCAAGGUGUGCUUUUUGCACAAAGAUCGGCAUUGGAAGGGCUUCUCAAUAGAUCUCUUUGACGUUCAAAUUAGGCUCUCAAAGUGGGAUUAGAAUGUAAACGAAAAAAAGAGAGUCUGACCUUGGUAAUCCUAUUCAUCUUCGUCUUUUAUAGUCGGUUCUCUCCUAGAUGCUUGCGGUUAGGAAUAGUAUUUUGCAAAACAGAAAAUAUUUAGAUAAUAUUUUUUGUUUGGCUUCUACUGACAUGGUAGAGCCAUUAGUUGAGACCUUUUAUCAUUAAUAGGUGAUGUGAUUGUCAUGUGUUGAGCAACAGAUUAAGAUGGAUAUUUCCCAUAUCGAUUGUCCCUUGAAAUUGUAUUGGGGAGUGUUUCUGAAUGGGUGCUAAAAUAUAAUUUAGACACACUCGCUUUUGGUGGACUCGUGAGUGUUAAAGGUUGCUUUCAUAGUUUGGGUGUCUUAGAGGGAUCAUUAUGGUUGGCCUGAAGGCAUCUCAGUCAGUCCUCGAUGCUCCUCCCGAAGAGGUCCUUGAUGCUCAGUCCUAAAAAGAUGCAUCGGAUGGUCCACGAUGCUUAGCUUGAGGAGGGCACAUAAGGUGAUCCAUGAUGCUUAGCCCGAUGUGGGUGCAUUGGAUAAUCCAUGAUGCUUAACCUGAGAAGGACGCAUCGGGUAAUAAAAAAUACUUAGCCCGAGGAUGGCCUAUUGGGUGAUCUAUGAUGACCUCAAGGAGGGUGCAUCGGACGAUCUGUGAUGCUUAGCUCAAAGAGAGCAUAUCGAGUGAUCCAUUAUGGUUAUUGCCUAAGGAGAGCAUUGAGCAAUCCGCUUUGCUUAGCCCGAGGAGGGUGCAACGGGCAAUUUGUGAUGUGUAGCCUGAAGAGGGCAUAUCGAGUAAUCCAUUUUGCUUAGCCUAAGGAGAGCAUCGGGCAAUCCGCUUUGCUUAGCCCGAGGAGGGUGUAUUGGGUGGUCUACGAUGCUUAGCUGGAGGAAGAUGUUUAGCUCAAUGAGGGCACAUCAGAUAAAUCACGAUGCUUAGUCCAAUGAGGGCACAUUGGGUGGUCUGUGAUGCUUACUUGAGGAAGGCACAUUGAGUAAUCCAUGGUGUUUAGCCUAAGGUGGCUGCAUUGGGUGGUCCUUGAUACUCGAUCCUCGGAGGACACAUCGGAUGAUCUAUGAUACUUAGCUCGAGGAGGGCACAUCAGGUGGUGAUGCUUAGCAUAAGGACACACAAGGUGAUCCAUAGUGUUUAAUAUGAGAAGGGCCCAUAAGGUGAUCUAGGAUGCUUAGCUUGACUAGGGCGCAUUGGGUGAUCAUGAUUCUUAGCCCGAGGAGGGUGCAUCGGAUGAUCUGUGAUGCUUUGCUCAAGGAGGGCAUAUCAGAUGAUUCACAAUGCUUAACCCAGCAGGGCACAUCGAGUGAUCUUCUUUGGGAUUUGAUUUGGCAGGUGGGUCAAAUGUCAUCGCACGUGUUGGUCAACCUUCUUGGUAAGCGAGAAUUGGGUGAGUGAGAAUCCUUGAAUGGGAAAUAUCUUAGUGGGAAAUUGAGGACAUAAAAGGUGAAAAGAUGUUUGAUGCUGAUGCCCUAUAAAGGGCCUUUUUUGGGGCGGAAGAGGCCUCACUCUAAGGCUUCUUGAGUCCAUAGCCUCCUAGCUUGCAGCCCCUUAGUCCUUUUAAAGCACUCCUUUUUUUCUCGGAUGAAGGAAAUGGCCUUUUCCACCUCUUUCGAGUCUCGAUCCCUUGAUGAUUGAAAGAUCUAUCUUUCAAAGAAGGGAGGCUAUACUAAAUUGGAUCAAGAUGCAAUUGUCCUUUAGUUAUCUUUCUAUGGGAAUUUCUUCGUAUAAUUCAAAAGCUAGUGAAAUCUCUCUUUAUCAUUAGGGUCUAUAUAUGAGAUAGAGAGAGGGAAAGGUUCAAUUUUUGUGUCCUCACUUAAUUUGUUGUAUCUUCCAUUUGUGUGCUUUUCCUAAGCUGUGUAGACUCUACUGAGGAUUUAUGCAUUUGAGACUAUAUAUUGUUGUUUUAAAAGCCUUUUAUGCACGAGGGUCUUCAUCCAUGGAUUUGAAGUCUAGGUUUUGAAAAUGGUGGCGUGCCUUUAACUCAAGGGAUCAUGAGGUUUAGAUCACGGUCGAGGGUGUUGAAGUCCUAUCCUUGGAUAGCCUAACGUCGAGGUUAGGGAGGGUGUCAUCUUCUUCAGAUGGGACAUCAGUUGAAGAAGGGCUCGAUGCUUCGUUUGGUAGUGAUCCUCUCCUCUUCCUUAGUUAUCAAACAAAGAGUCGAAGAUCGAUUGAUCGAUGUUAACCUAAGCCCAGGUCCUUGGGGUACGUCUUUGUGUUUCGUUCCUUUUCAUUUUAGCAUUAUUUUCCUAAUGUUUGACUUGACACCUCGUUGCAUGAAUGGAUCUCACGAAGCUAAAGCGAAAGGUGGUUGCCUCGAUAGCUCUUGCUUCCAUGCGAAUUCCAUCGAGGAGUUCGAUUGUCUUAGCUUUGUUGACAACUUCAAUGACCUGGGUGCUAGAGAGGAGUGUGCCAGUCGAGGCAUCGAUUGAGGUCAAGUCGUCCUGAAAGCAUGGGGUGGUGAUGAAGGGAGGAUAUUUAGCCUCCACGUUGAGGUGGCAUCGGACAGUGCUACCCCGACACCCCAGUGCCUAAGGCAGGAUCAACGUCAAAAAGAUCGUGGCAUCAAUACAUGCAUGACUUGUGCAAAUGCAAAUUGGCACCUUUCGUUGCCCUCCAGGCGUCGAACUUGCUUGACCUGAUGGAAGGAGAACCCUUGAAGGCACGAUGGUACUCGUUAAAGGCAUCUGAUGCGAUAUGGAAGGAUGGGCACUUAGUCAGCUAAUACCUCCGAGGGGUUCUCAUCCCUCCUCUAGCCAAGGAGGUUGACACAUUGCCCUUCGAGGUGAUGAUCGAAGAGGUGACUAAACAUGUUGUGGUGCAUAACCACUAUUUGAUGGGGAUUAUUGAUUGGUUUUGUGACUCAGGGAGCAUCGUCUCCUUCCUAAGUGAGGAGAAGGAUAAGCUUGAGGUUGAGGAAAGAUCGGGCCGAUCCAUGAAUAAUUGUGAAGCUGAAGGCAAAGCCUGUCAAUCGGGAAACAAGGUUGAUCGAGGAACAAUAGUGCAUUGAUGCCCUUGUUGAGAAGAAUGGCUGACAAGCGAACCAAUUGAAUAUGAUCCGGGAGCACAACUGUCAGAUGCAAGAUUAGUUGCAUCUUCAAGGAGAAAUCAAUAUGCAAAAGACAAAGAUAUUUGAUCUAAUGAAGCAACUUCAGGUUGAGAAAGCAUUGGCUCAGAAGCUAGCAAUUGAGACGGUUGCAGCCUAUAAGGAGUCGGAGGGAUUGCCUUCUUCGAGUGGGGGAUGCAUCCUUCAAGUGUGGAUAUCUCCUGCUAUCACCCAAACAAAAACCAAGUAUCUUGACCUCCAAGUUGAAGAAAAUCCUUGCAUUGACUUGCCGAAGGACAAGUUGGUGUCAAUGGAGACCCACAUCGACUUCAACGAUAACUCAACGUCCCUAUUGGAUGAAGGCGUCGGUGCCUCUGGAAUAGAAGUUGUCAACAUAUUUAUAACCCCUUAAAUCUCCUUGUCCUUUCGUUUUUGUGGGUCGGAAUCUAAUGAAUCACUUUUGAAUCUUGUGUAAGGACCUGACUUGUAUAAUGUAAAAAAAUUUCAAAGUAUCAAUGAAGAAUUUUUUGCUA